rnacentral:lncRNA from 1 species
UCAUUUUAACAUAUCCCUUCUCUCUGUAUAUCUCUCCAUUCUCUUCUAUCUCUUAACCACACACUACCAUCGAAGCGCCAUCAUCACUGGGCUCAAGACGCCUUCGGCCGGUCAAUGUCUUCGAUCUGCGAUCACUGAAGGAAAAAGGAAAGAAGCCCCAACAUGCGAUGUGUAGUCUUCGAUUUGCAGGAAAAAGGCGCCUCGGGUAGUGUUGCACGCAAUAUGUGAAAAAAAAUGUGUGCUACGUAUACAUUUUACCCUAUAUAUUUUCAAUAAUUUUCUUUGUUGAUUGUCAGUUUCUAAGUUGUGAUGUGAUAUUUGAAUUCAAAAUGCCCAAAAGGGAUAAAAUAUUUCCAAAAUCUAAAUUCAUGUUCUUAAGUUGUGGAUAUAAAGUUGUCGUUACCUUUUAAACUUGAAACUUUCAAUCAAUCCUAAUUAGUAUUUAAAAGCUCGAUUUUAUAGCUAGCUAAAAUAAAUUCCAACAAUGAACAAAAUUUCUUUUCGAGUUUUAUGUAAUUUAUUAUACCCUUGUAGGUUGAGAAGUGCUUGAUACCUCUAUCUACUUUAGAAUUAUACUCAGAAGUUGUUAGCUUUCUUCCUUUGUGUCCUUGGAGUAAUGUUACCAAGAAAAGGAUUUUUGAAUUUUCUUACUGUGGAUGUUUUAUUGAAGCUAUGGGAUUUCAAACAUAAUUUCUUGAGCCAAGAAUAACACUCAUCUAGUCAGCAGUAUUUGAAGGUGCUUUGGUUUUUGUUUAACAUAAUUCAAAACUUUCGGCGAACUAAAGUAGUCCUCAGGUCUGAGGGAAAAAAUUGAUUUUCAUAGAUUAAUUUCACUAUCUUAUUUAUAGAUCUUGUUUCAAUUUUUUUUUUUUCCAGAGGGACUCCAAUGUAAGACUUGUGGUAAACCCCCAGAGGGUCAUUUUUUCUAUUAUGCACAUCAUAACAAGCAACUAACUAUUAAAGCUAGACAUCUUCCUGUUGACAAAGGCCUGGUGAAAUUGAAGUAAAGCUUUGGAUGUAGAUUUGCUGUGGUCAAUGUAGUCAUAGAUGUCCUAUGUUGUUCUAUUGAUAAUAAAUGAUUUUGAUUUCAAGGAUUUGGUUGUAAUAUAUCGACUUACAUAACAUCACAUAUCUAUUCACUCCUUGUCAUAUGUGAUGAGUGAUUUACACUCAUUAUAUUAUGUCAUUAAUUUCAUGAUUUUGCUAUCUUGGAGAGUAUUUUAGAAGUGCUAACAAGUGAUUUUGGUGUUAUUUUGUAGAUUGAUGGAAGUGGAGAAUACAAGAGCUAAAAGAGGUCAAAGGAAGGAAAUAGGCAAAAGCUAGCGAAAUUAGAUGAAAUGACCAAAACGUAAGAGAUCCAAAGUUCGAGGAUUAAAAUGCAAUUAAUCAAAAGUCGUGUCGAAACUUGAAAUGAAGAUCCGAGAGUUCUAGAAGCCAAUUGGAUGAAGGAAGGUGCCAAAGGGAUCAAAUUUAGUCAAAAUAUGAUCAUAAAUCAUUUUCCAACCAAAAAGUUUUGCGCCGGAGUUUUGAUCUCACAUUUAGACUCAUUUUGACAUAGAAAACGAUCGAAUUGGAGAAUGAUUCCUGAUGCAAAAUUGUAUUCCAUUGAAUUAUCUUUCCAACGCAUCUUGAAUCACUUUAAUCGGAUAUCGAACGAAAAAGUUAUGACAAAAAUACUAAAAGCUAUCCAAUGCAACCGAAGUAAUCCUCAGUGUUCAGGCGCCAUGAUGCUGAAAUUUUGACAGAAAGUCAGCGCCUAGACGCCCAAUCGUAGCGCCCAGACGCCGCCGUGCGAGAGUAAUUUUUUUAGGUUUUUGCCAUUCUUUUUCGACCCAACUCAUCUCCAAAUCAUUCCCUAGACUCCAAGACAUUAUAAACACAGAAUUGAAGACCUAAAUUAGAGGGGAGCCGCACACUAAAAAUCUGUGGAAUCAAGCUAUGCGUUCUUGACAUAUUGGAGAGAAGACAACAAGAAGGGAGAUUGAAAAGAAAAAUUCAAGAAGAUUAACACCAAG